rfam:Aedes albopictus isolate Foshan contig97322, whole genome shotgun sequence.
CUUCUCGUGGUGUAGUUGGCAACGCGCCUGUCUAGUGAGUAGGAGUAAUGAGUUCGAGUCUCACCGAAAGGA